UACGUAGGAUGCGAGCGUUAAUCGGAAUUACUGGGCGUAAAGCGUGCGCAGGCGGUUUUGUAAGCCAGAUGUGAAAGCCCCGGGCUUAACCUGGGAAUGGCAUUUGGGACUGCAAGGCUUGAGUGCGGCAGAGGAGACUGGAAUUCCCGGUGUAGCAGUGAAAUGCGUAGAUAUCGGGAGGAAUACCGAUGGCGAAGGCAGGUCUCUGGGCUGACACUGACGCUCAUGCACGAAAGCGUAGGGAGCAAACAGG
rnacentral:rRNA from 1 species